rnacentral:rRNA from 1 species
CACGUAGGGGGCGAGCGUUGUCCGGAUUUAUUGGGCGUAAAGAGCGUGUAGGCGGCUUUACAGGUCCGUUGUGAAAACUCGAGGCUCAACCUCGAGACGCCGGUGGAAACCGUAAAGCUAGAGUCCGGAAGAGGAGAGUGGAAUUCCUGGUGUAGCGGUGAAAUGCGUAGAGAUGUGGAGGAAUACCGAUGGCGAAGGCAGCCUCCUGGGCCAACACUGACGCUCAUGCACGAAAGCGUGGGGAGCAAACAGG